rnacentral:misc_RNA from 1 species
GAGAUGCGAUAAGUAAUGUGAAUUGCAGAAUGCAGUGAAUCAUCGAAUCUUUGAACGCACAUUGCGCCCGCCAGUAUUCUGGCGGGCAUGCCUGUUCGAGCGUCAUUUCAACCAUCAAGCCCCCGGCUUGUGUUGGGGACCUGCGGAUGCCCGCAGGCCCUGAAAAACAGUGGCGGGCUCGCUGUCACACCGAGCGUAGUAGCAUACAUUCUCGCUCAGGGCGUGCUGCGGGUUCCGGCCGUUAAACGACCUUCAUAACCCAAGGUUGACCUCGGAUCAGGUAGGAAGACCCGCUGAACUUAAGC